rnacentral:rRNA from 1 species
UCCAGACUCCUACGGGAGGCAGCAGUGAGGAAUAUUGGUCAAUGGGCGGGAGCCUGAACCAGCCAUGCCGCGUGAAGGCGAGUGCCCUACGGGCGUUAAACUUCUUUUGUGCGGGAGCAAUAAGGGCCACGUGUGGCCCGAUGAGAGUACCGCACGAAUAAGCAUCGGCUAACUCCGUGCCAGCAGCCGCGGUAAUACGGAGGAUGCGAGCGUUAUCCGGAUUUAUUGGGUUUAAAGGGUGCGCAGGCGGGAGAUCAAGUCAGCGGUAAAAUGUCGGGGCUCAACCCCGGCCGGCCGUUGAAACUGGUUUUCUAGAGUUGGAGAGAAGUAUGCGGAAUUCGUGGUGUAGCGGUGAAAUGCAUAGAUAUCACGAAGAACUCCGAUUGCGAAGGCAGCAUACCGGCUCCAUACUGACGCUGAGGCACGAAAGCGUGGGGAUCGAACAGGAUUAGAUACCCUUGUAG